rnacentral:rRNA from 1 species
AUUGAACGCUGGCGGCAGGCCUAACACAUGCAAGUCGAACGAGUGGCGGACGGGUGAGUAAUGUCUGGGAAACUGCCCGAUGGAUGGGGAUAACUACUGGAAACGGUCGCUAAUACCGCAUACCAUCGGAUGUGCCCAGAUGGGAUUAGCUAGUGGGUGGGGUAACGGCUCACCUGGGCGACGAUCCCUCGCUGGCCUGAGAGGAGGACCAGCAACACUGGAACUGAGACAGGGUCCAGACGCCUACGGAGGGAAGCAGUGGGGAAUAUUGCACAAUGGGCGAAAGCCUGAUGCAGCCAUGCCGGGUGUAUGUAGAAGGCCUUCGGGUUGUAAAGUACGUUAAGCGAGGAGGCGUUACUCGAAGAAGAAGCACCGGCUAACUACGUGCCAGCAGCCGCGGUAAUUC